GGGUUUUCCAGUGAUCAGUGAAUGGUAUUCUGAUUGGAAAAGUACAAGAUAAAAAAACAACUGCAAGGAAAUCAAUAACUAGUGAUGCCAAACAGAUGAGGCUUGAUUCACAUCUCUGUGAAAUAAAGAACAUUUCUGAGAGCAGAGUUUUCCAGUUAUCAUCUCCUUUCCUGUGUCAGAUUGCUGUUUUCCACGGAGACAGUUGAGGAUGAGGUUGAGGACAUGGGACUCAUGAAUUUUGAGAGAGGAGGAUGUGAAGCCUGACACACUUAUUGUGGGAAGUCUUUCAGAAAGAAAAAGACCAGUAAAUUGAAUGUUCUGCUCUUAAGAAAGACACAUGCCGGGAGGAAGGAAACUCACAAGGUUCUUAAUGACGUCAUUGACAAAAGAAGGUCCUGGUAACCUUCAGUGCCGCCGGUCAGACUUGACUGGUUGGUAGCUGAAGGAAAUUAAUUGAUUCCUGUUUUUGUGUGGGAGUGGAAAGGGCAUUAGGCAUAAUGAAUAAUGGCUUUCACCUUGAGCCUGUCCUCCAAACUUGCAAACAAAAAUAAAUGUCUUGAAGUCUUUUCUGAGAGAACUAGUUUAAGUGAAGGGGAAUCUCUGGUGGUCUUCAAUUCUGGUUGGAAAGGAAGGAUUUUUAUAUUUUAAAAACUUUUUUUUAGAAAAGUAAUAUAUGAAUGCUGAGGUUUGAAUUGUAUA